UAAGACGAACCGUGCGAACGUUAUUCGGAAUCACUGGGCUUAAAGCGCGUGUAGGCGGGACGGCACGUCGGUCGCUGAAAGCCCCCGGCUCAACCGGGGAAGGGGCGCCGAUACGACCGUCCUCGAGGGACGUAGGGGGACCUGGAACUUCCGGUGGAGCGGUGAAAUGCGUUGAGAUCGGAAGGAACGCCCGUGGCGAAAGCGAGGUCCUGGACGUUUACUGACGCUGAGACGCGAAAGCCAGGGGAGCGAACGGGAUUAGAUACCCCGGUAGUCCUGGCCGUAAACGAUGGGCACUGGGUAGGGGGCUCGCCGAUGGGCUCCCUGUCGUAGGGAAACCGUGAAGUGCCCCGCCUGGGGAGUAUGGUCGCAAGGCUG
rnacentral:rRNA from 1 species